AAUAGAUGUGAAAGAUGUCGAUGGUGCACCUCUGGGUCCUUAAAAUCUUGAGCCCAUUCCAUUAUAGAACCGUCUUCAGCAAUUUUUGUUGGAUGAAGCCUUGGUUGAGCCUCACGCACUUUUUGAAUAAGAAAAUCAUUCUGUCUGUCCAGAAUCUCAGAAGCUGAGAUAAUUGAAGAAAACACUUCUUUUAUGAUUGCCAUGUCCAUGGUUGAUGAAUAGCUCACACAAGCUGGCUUACCAUCUGGAGCAAUAAACAUGUGUUCUGGAGAAGUUGACGGAUUAGUUUCCAAAUAUCCUUCAUGCCCUUCAACCAGCCAGUCCAACAAAAACGAUACACAUCCUUCCAAAAGAGGAUAUGCCUCAGUUCUGAGAAAAUCCUUGUCCAUUGAGUAAUUAUAGUGCUCCCAUAAAUGGGUACAAAGCCAUGCCCCACCCAUUGGCCACAAUCCAGAAAGGACAUCUGUUCCAUCUGCUGAUGAUUUUGCCCAUAUGUCAGACUUAUGAUGUACAACCCAACCACUUGUUUCAUAGUUAACUUGUGCUGUUUUACUUCCAUUAAUUGACAGGGACUUAAUAAAAUCAAAGAGGGGCUCCUGGCAUUCACUAAGGUUGCAAGGCAAGGAUGGCCAGUAGUUCAUCUCAAGAUUGAUGUUCAGGUGAGGAGCAGAAUCCCAUUUUGGCUGAAGAUCUUUGUUCCAUACUCCCUGCAGGUUUGCCACCUGAGUUCUAGGGCGAGAGCAAGAAAUAAGUAAAUAUCGGCCAAACUGGAAUAGCAGCUCAACUAAGGAUGGAUCCUCAUCAGAUUGAAAAGAUUUUAUCCUCUCAACCGUUGGAAUUAAAUCAUCUUUGCUCCCUUUGACAUAUGAGGUAUUUGCAGAAGGCAUAAGAUUAUUCAUCACCAGAUCAUUUCCUACAAUUACAUUAGUGCUUUUCCAGA
rnacentral:misc_RNA from 1 species